rnacentral:miRNA from 1 species
GAUUUUCCCACUCCCCUUUUGUCCACUUACACUCCAUUUUGUUUUUUUAAUAGUUUUUACUAUAACAAAAAAGGGAGUGUAAGUGGAGAAAAGAGGAGUGGGUACAUACAAUUUUUAACAAAGGGAGUGUAAGUGGAUAAAAGAGGAGUGGGAAAAUC